rnacentral:rRNA from 1 species
AUACGAAGGGUGCGAGCGUUAAUCGGAAUUACUGGGCGUAAAGCGCGCGUAGGCGGUUGGAUAAGUCGGAUGUGAAAGCCCCGGGCUCAACCUGGGAAUUGCAUUCGAAACUGUCCGGCUAGAGUAUGGUAGAGGGAAGCGGAAUUCCACAUGUAGCGGUGAAAUGCGUAGAUAUGUGGGGGAACACCAGUGGCGAAGGCGGCUUCCUGGACCAAUACUGACGCUGAGGUGCGAAAGCGUGGGGAGCAAACAGGAUUAGAUACCCUAGUAGUCC